UACGUAGGGGGCAAGCGUUGUCCGGAAUCAUUGGGCGUAAAGAGCGUGUAGGCGGCCUGAUAAGUCGGCUGUGAAAGUCAAGGGCUCAACCCUUGAAUGCCGGCCGAUACUGUCAGGCUAGAGUCCGGAAGAGGCGAGUGGAAUUCCUGGUGUAGCGGUGAAAUGCGCAGAUAUCAGGAGGAACACCAAUAGCGAAGGCAGCUCGCUGGGACGUUACUGACGCUGAGACGCGAAAGCGUGGGGAGCAAACAGG
rnacentral:rRNA from 1 species